rnacentral:rRNA from 1 species
GUCCACGCCGUAAACGAUGAUCACUAGCUGUUCGGGGAGUCGACCCCCUGAGUAGUGUAGCUAACGCGUUAAGUGAUCCGCCUGGGGAGUACGGUCGCAAGGCUAAAACUCAAAGGAAUUGACGGGGACCCGCACAAGCGGUGGAACGUGUGGUUUAAUUCGACACUAAACGAAAAACCUUACCGAGGCUUGACAUCUCUGGAAAGUCCUAGAAACAGGACCGUGCCCGAAAGGGAACCAGAUGACAGGUGCUGCAUGGCUGUCGU